GUAGAAGAUUCUGAUAAAGCGUGUACCGACGUUGUUUCACGGUUCCCGACGUGUUUGUCGCGAGAGAGAGACCACCAGUCGUGCGUUGCGUGCGACGCCAGGCGUCGUCGGUCUAGGCGUUGUGGCGCCUCGAUCUACCCUUUUGCUUGUCGCCCGUAUAGCGCAUAGGGUUGGCAGAAACCUCGAUCUAACUGCACACGUGUAUUUGCACAAGGCGAAACGCACGCACAACGGUUGCAUCAAAACUACACACACAUUCGAAAUAUUCUAUUUCAGCCCUUUCUAAAUUCACCAACCAAAGCUGCGUUAAUAACAUUAAAAGCCAAACAGGCUUUAACUUUAAGAAGCUUGAAUUCGUGUAACGUGAAACUGAUCUAAAUCUAUUUAUUUAUUUGAUCUUUACGAAAGUACGCUUUCUAAAGGAAAUAAUCAGUCUUUUAAGUUAAUUUUCUUCGAAAUAGAAGUCGAGUGCAAAUUCAAACUUCGAUCAAGUGUUUGAAAAAUUGCGUUGUUUAUUUAAACUGAAAUUGUAGACAAAACAAUUUAGUUAGUUUUGUAAAUUUAUCAAAAAACAUUAGAACAAAGAAAGAAAGGAGAAAACGUUAGAGAUAUAUUUACUUCGCACGAGCAAGCGUAAAUUUUUCACAGCCUCAACUUUAUCUAUCUCAUAAUAACAAAAAUAACGUUCGCCGUAUCGUUUGUGGCUUCAAUACCCAUGUAGCCGGGACCUAAUGAUGUGCACAUAUACGGAACGUUCCAUCUCGUAGACUGACCUGACAAACGCAGCUGUCCUUGGCCUCGCAAAAAGCCAAAAUUAGAAAUGGCACUUAGUAACUCGGAGAAAGAGAUUGGAGGAGGCAUAUAGAAGAAAGAAAGAGAUGAGAAGUGGCUGGAAGUCUGCUGUACAGUUGUCUCGAACGGAAAUGGGAUAAUGUAAUUGUCUCUCCUAUCAGUAGGGGAUUACUCAGUUCUCUACAAAUACAAAUACACGUAGAGGAUAGAGAAGGAUAGAGAAGUAUGCGAACUAGUGCAUUUGGUUCCUUUCAUCUCUUGCUUUUAUUUUAUAAUUAAUAUCACAAUAAAUAUAUAUCAAACGA